rnacentral:rRNA from 1 species
UACGGAGGGUGCAAGCGUUAAUCGGCAUUACUGGGCGUAAAGCGCACGCAGGUGGCUGAGUCAGUCGAUUGUGAAAGCCCUGGGCUUAACCUGGGAAUUGCAGUCGAUACUACUCAGCUAGAGUAUGGGAGAGGGUAGUGGAAUUCCCGGUGUAGCGGUGAAAUGCGUAGAUAUCCGGAGGAACACCAGAGGCGAAGGCGGCCGACUGGACCUGACCUGACGCUGAGGCGCGAAGGCGUGGGGAGCGAACGGG